ACGCUCGACACCUACGGAGGCAGCAGUGGGGAAUAUUGCACAAUGGGGGAAACCCUGAUGCAGCGACGCCGCGUGAGUGAAGAAGUAUUUCGGUAUGUAAAGCUCUAUCAGCAGGGAAGAAGAUGACGGUACCUGAGUAAGAAGCCCCGGCUAACUACGUGCCCGCAGCCGCGGUAAUCUGAGCGGGCUGGCAAGGC
rnacentral:rRNA from 1 species